CCUACGGGCGGCAGCAGUGGGGAAUAUUGCACAAUGGGCGAAAGCCUGAUGCAGCGACGCCGCGUGAGUGAAGAAGUAUUUCGGUACGUAAAGCUCUAUUAGUAGGGAAGAAAAUGACGGUACUUGACUAAGAAGCCUCGGCUAACUACGGGCCAGCAGCCGCGGUCAUACGGAGGGGGCACGCGUUAUCCGGAUUUACUGGGUGUAUAGGGAGCGUAGACGGUUGCGCAAGUCUGACGUGAAAUCCCAUGGCUUAACCAUGGAACUGCUUUGGAAACUGUGCCACUGGAGUGCAGGAGAGGUAAGCGGAAUGCCUGGUGUAGCGGUGAAAUGCGUAGAUAUUAGGAAGAACACCAGUGGCGAAGGCAGUUUACUGGACUGUAACUGACGUUGAGGCUCGAAAGCGUGGGUAGCGAACAGGAUUAGAUACCCGUGUAGUC
rnacentral:rRNA from 1 species